UGUGUGUGUGGACACACGACUACAAUGUCGUAUGGUCGGAGCGCGGGCCAAGAUACAAAUUUGUGUUCGUGCUCUGAGGAGUGGAUUCUUAGGUUCUCAAGAUCUCGGCCGUCGUCUUUCGUCCUCUCCGAGAUGGCGAUCAGUGGAUCUCCGGGACAAGAAGGUUGCGUCCAAAAACGGCAGCUGGAGACUUGCAGUGUAGCAGAUGACUUGCAUAAAGAGAUGGACUGUAAGCCAUACAAAGCACAUGAAGCAGAAGAGAAAAAUUUGUCAGGAUGUGGUAUUAGAGCUAAGUGGUUCAGGUAACGAGGUAAAACAUCUAGAAUUUUGAAACUCCACAGGUAAAAUUAGAUUUUGGUGCAAAUAUUUUCUAAUCACUUUUUGCGAAGCUUAUUAAUUUUAGGCACAACAGCAAAAGUUUUGUCUGUUCUGAUCCUCUGGCACUACAUAUUUAAACAACAUAGUAUUAUAUGAUGACCAUUUUUAUACUAUUACUUGGCAAUAAAAGAUACUAAUUGUUCCAAGAACAGUGAAAUUACUUUGCUGCAGAAGAACAGAAUUAAAAUAAAAUUACUUGGUUCAUGACACUGUAUGAGUGAGUAGAAUGACCACAUACAUGAUUUAUGAAUUGACUAAAAAGAAUGUUUAGGUUUGGGUUGCUUCAAUUUUUGUCAUUGAUAAAUUGCAUGGAAUGUAAUAUCUUUUUUCUUAAGGGUGAGCCAUAUCUGUGGUCGUUAUCCAACACACUAGGUCUAAAAAGGAGAGGAAUUUGUAUAGGAAAUCUACUUAAGAUUGAAAUGGGGGACUUUGAAUGGGUCUAUUUCAUAUGCCAUCAUGAUGCUUAAGCUUGAAAGUUCAUUAGCUUCUCUUAUCUAAUUAAAGCACACCCUUCAAAAGCCUCACAGAGAGAUACAUUUUCUUUUUAUUUUCCUCCUGCUCCUCAGUCAUUAUUAUUGGACAGAAGCACCACAAAAGAUGCUCUGCUCUCCUGCUUGAAUCAUUUCACUUAUGUUGCCUAGUUGUUCUGGUUCUGAGGAGGAAAAAAAAAAAAACUCGUUAAUGCUGAGGGGACUUGAGAAUCCUCAAACAUAUGGUGAACUGUUAAUUUGACCAAUGACAUAUGGCUAAAGACUUAUGAUCAUAUUUAUAGUUGUCAAUAUAUCUUGCUUAAAAUUGUGGGGUUUAUCAUGUUUAUCUCUGAUUAUACUUGGCUAAUUUAUCUAUUUAGUCUUAGUUCUUCAUUCUAAUUUUGCAGCUAAUAGGUCAGAAUUUUCACUUUCGAUGGCAUAAUUCUUUACUAACUUAUCUUGUUUCUGUAGAAUGCUCAGGUGACGUUGUAUGAUGACAGUGACACACUCAUAGAUAGAAGGUUUGUGAAGAAAGAUGAGGUGGUUGAAUGUGGCAGAAUGCUGACCAUGGAAACUCAUCUUGUUGAUGUUGGAGAUCUUGAAGCAGAUCAUGGACAUGUUACAAAGUUAGAUGUCAGUGGUAGAGAUAAGAAAUUAAAUGAAGUGGCUAAAUACAGGGACAAAAGGGUAUUUAUUAAUUGUUUCUUCUUAUAAUAGGCAUUAAGUUCCUUUUUGUAAAAUUUACAUUAGUGGUCAUUGCUUGGUACAAUGAUAAAAGGCUUGGGCUGACAGGCGUAAUGGCUCAUGUUCAAGUCCUAGGCAGCUGAUUUGUUCAAAAAAAAUCACCAAGGUUAGGUUAUUUUGUUGCAGACCAAGUUUAGGUUAUUGCUCAUGGUAAAGAACCUUUCUUACACAGAACAGUAAAAGCACAUUGCAGAGUAAACGACCAAAUAACAUUUUAAAUGCGAUACAUUGCAGCAUAAAGGUCACUGGUUCUGCCAUAUGUAAUUAUUUAACACAUUUAAUGGGUGAUUUCUGUCGAAUGUUUAGGUUCUUAUCCAAAGUACCCUUAUCCUCAGAUUAAAGACAUAUUGGAUAGUAGACUACAGAGAAACAUUCAGUUGCGUUACUGAGCAGCAUUAAGUGAAACAAGAGGACUGCAUUUGGUAGCUCUAGAGCAGCACAAAGUUGUCCAAAUACAACAUAUUCACCAUUAAAAGAUGGGGCAGUACUGAGCAGCAAGUUCCUCAAGUCAACUGAACGGGUGGAACCAGGCAUUGAAUUUGAGUUGCUCAACUAUCUAGUCGAAGUUUCCAGGAAGAAGGUCUCCACUAGCGUCCUUUAGGGCAAGUUGCAAGUUCUAGAUGCUCAAGUGACAGAAAGUUCACUAUUAAUAGGGAAAACCUUAGUUGCAAGACAUUGCCUACCGGUUUGUCUGUUCUUAUUAGAUGCAACUUUUAGAUGUUAUCUAUCAUGCAAUAUGAUUUGAGUAUUCUUCAUCCUGAUCAUGAGGGUGAUCUUUGGUGUAAUGGUAAGGUUGCUCCAUCGUAACCUGGGUGUCACGGGUUUGAAAAUGGAAACAGCCUCUUCACACGUGGAGAUAAGGAGAUUUACAGAGGGUCAUUCAAGGCAAGUGAAAGGUUCUAGCACUCAACAAUUAGGAAGUCUACAAGUUGUUCAACACUGCUAAGUAAUGAGCCACUGCCUGACGGUUUGUUGGUCCUUGGUGCUUCUUUUCUACUAAUAUUAUCUUCAUUCAAAUGUUACUGAUUUGACAAUUAGUCCAGGCAUAAUGUUGUCCAUACUUUCUAUCUAUAUAUGCAUUGGUGAACCUUUCCUUGCUAUUUACAAAGGAUUAGUGGUUUAUAUUAGAUGAACAUGAUAGCUGCAGAAUGUGAACCAUUCUUUAGUUCCAUAAUAAUGUCAUCUUCUUGGUGACUGCCAUUUUCUGUCUAUUCUUUGGAAGCCAUUACCAGAAGAGAAUCAGACCGCAUUGUAUUGGAUGUACGAGGUCAUACCAAGAAAGAGCUUAGUGUGUCAGGACGAAUUUUUUGAGGGAAACUGCUAGUGGCAAACAUGAAUAUGACUCUGCUGGCGGUGCCAUUCAAACUUCUACAUUGGGAAGUCUCUAUGUAAAUUUCAGAGCUUCUCCGAACCUCAUAAAUCAGGAAUUACAUUGCAGCGGGCAUGGAUAGUGAAGAAAAUUACUAUUAGAUGAUUAUUCAUCUUCUUGCAAUCGGUUAUCAUGGUGUGCAUUUUACAUUUUUAAGUUAUUGUAAGUUAGAAUUUUGGUCAUCCAAUAGUCAAAUAUACAAUUUCUGUAACUUCUGGUCAUCCAAAAUCCGAACUACAAAGGAUUUAAAGCUGUAGUUUGGUUCUCUUAGAUCUUAAUAUAGAAUACCAAAUGUUUGGUUUUUUUU